rnacentral:rRNA from 1 species
UGUUGCAGUUAAAACGCUCGUAGUCGGAAUUUGGCGGUCUCACAAAGUGAUGCGAAUCGCUCGUACGCUUUGCCUUGGGAUCCGCUUUUGUGGGAGAAGUACCAGUGCGGUGUGUGCUGGUAUCUUUGCUUGCGUAGGAUGAGGUACAUUUAUUUGUAAACGUCCUUUCACGCACCCACUCUUUACUGUGAGAAAAUCAGAGUGCUCAAAGCAGGCUUGUGCCGUGAAUGUAUUAGCAUGGAAUAAUAGAAUAGGACUUGGUCUUAUUUUGUUGGUUGUUGUUAAGGUCGAGUAAUGAUUAAGAGGGACAGUUGGGGGCACUUGUAUUCCGGCGCUAGAGGUGAAAUUCUUAGAUUGCCGGAAGACAAACUGCUGCGAAAGCGUCUGCCAAGGAUGUUUUCAUUGAUCAAGAACGAAAGUAAGGGGAUCAAAGACGAUCAGAUACCGUCGUAGUCUUUACUAUAAACGAUGAGGACUGGGGAUCGGGCGAGGAAUUACGAUGACCCGCCCGGCACCCUUCGAGAAAUCAAAGUGUUUGCUUUCUGGGGGGAGUAUGGUCGCAAGGCUGAAACUUAAAGGAAUUGACGGAAGGGCAUCACCGGGUGUGGAGCCUGCGGCUUAAUUUGACUCAACACGGGAAAACUUACCAGGUCAGGACAUAGUGAGGAUUGACAGANUGAGAGCUCUCUCUUGAUUCUAUGGGUG